rnacentral:lncRNA from 1 species
GCCUCAAAGUAAAAAAAAAUAUUCAAUUUUUGUAUUGCAUUUAAAAUCAUCCAAAGUAAAAAUCAAAUAUCGGAAAUUGUAUUAGAACAUUCAUAUGUAAUCACGUGAUCAGAAUAAUAAUGGACGCCAACAGAUAUAUGUCAAGCAAUCUUGUCUUUGCUUACGACGUGGUGUAUGAUUAAACGGUACUUGCUAUACAUUUGAAAUACAUUAGAAAUUAAAAAAAAAAUGUAUUCUAUUGACGCAUGUCAGAAUGACGUCAAGUAAAAGAACUUCAAACGUGAAUUGACGCUUUGAAUAAAACACUUUUGAUGAAGAUCAUAGGGAUUGAAUGGUUCUGGAUAUUCCUUUUAAGGCUUUACAAUUUUUUUUUCAAUUCUAUAAGGAAAAUUAAUGUUAUACGUUCGAUGACGCAUAGAAAAACUUCUGCUUGAUACAGCAACCGCAAAACAAAUCAAAGUUUGAUGUUGACAUAAAAGUAUAAUGUUCCAACGUCAACAACGACCAUUCUAUUCUGAGUAGGCGUUUUUAUAAUCUGAUUGUUUUCGAUUAUGCAAACAUCAAUCUAUUUUUGUAUUAAAAACGUAACUUUAUAUUAAAUAUCAAAAACCCCAAUCAUAACUUGUUUUACUUCUCCCUGAUAUGUUUUUUUUUUAAGUAAUAAUUAUUUCAUUUAAAAAAAAGCAAAUAUAUACCCUCCUCAGAACCAAUUGGUUGUUUCCUCAGUUUCAAAAUUUACCAACUAGAAAAUGAUAACUAAGUCUACAUGUAACACAAGAGUUUUAUGUAUGUCAGGUUAGGUAUACAACUCAAGGUUAUAGCAAGUUACCUUGAGAUGAGCUGAAAAUAUCAGUUGGUUUUCAUUUGUUAAUAUUGAUAAUGUGCUGAAAACUCUGUCAAAUCUCCAUAAAUCCCUU